UUGUACGACUAAUGUUAUGUACUUCUAAGAUUGAACCCGCUUGCACAAAAUUCUGGGUCCGCUAUUGACCUAGUUUUACUACAUAAGUGAAACCUGGGGCGGGUGAGGUGUACGAGGAAGAAAAAUUGGUUGACUAUACAUGAAUCUAAAUUGCAUUAUCGUUUUACUCAUACAGUCAUAUAUGUCAUUGGCUACUGAACUAGUACUUAAUCUUGAGACUUAUAAA
rnacentral:lncRNA from 1 species